AUGACAAUCAGAAAUUUUCACGCUUCAAUCCAUAUUCUAUUGAUCUGAUUUCGACGACGGACCAGGUAAGAUGCCGGAUGCAAUUUUUGAAUUAUUUAAAUUAUUCCUCGUGUGUCAACCUGGCUGCACGAACUGUGAAGAGACGUGGAGUUAGGCUUCGGUCAUUUUGGAAUUUACUAUACAGCAAACUUCGUAAACACUGGGUGACCCGAUUCUAAAUCAGAAUGGUUUCCUAGGCGGAUACGAAUCGCCAAACGCUUGCAGAAGCUGAAGCAUUCCCGCAUAGAAAAUUACGGUUUGUCAUACAUUUAAAACAACAAAUAUCUUGUAGCGGUUAAGGUUAACGUUCCAUUAACAGUUUUUAAUAUGUUGAACAAUAUGAGAGUUACAGACCUAUACUAUAAAGAAUGGUAUGAAUAACCUACAGCAUACUGUAACAAUACAUUAAAGUGUUCAGAUAUUGUAAUACAUUUUGAGGGGGGAAUUGGUCUCACAAUUUAUUACACAUUUUCAACAGUUUGGCGAACGGUUGCACGCAUUCAUUCGUGAGCCGAUGCAAAUAGAACACGCUUAAGAAAUAAUCAACACAGAAGCUGUGUACAAGAUUCAAAUCCGUGAUGAAAUGUUUCUGGUUUUUUUAACAUAAUGUCUUAAUUUAUAACUUCCAAUACUUUCUGAAUCGCAAAACUAAUAUCAUCGCCAUUUGUUGAUCAAGUUAUGUGAAAAUACUAUGGUCGCGACUUAAAAAUUUAGACUACCUUUUGUGUUACUUUUUUCUAGCGUGCAGGUUGUUGUGUUUAUUUUGCUAGUGAAAAAAAGUAAGAAAAAACUUCCAAACUGCCUAUUUUUUGGUUCCCGUUUCAUCGCCAUCGGACUAAAACCAGCCGAAAGUUAUAUUAAACAUUGUUUAAUUGCGUUUUCGUUCCGGUAGUGUAGUGUGUUUUAGUCAAUGUGGUUUUCCGGUGUUUUGGAUUACCUGUCCUCCAGCAGUCGGAUCCUGACGGAUCGAUUCUGAUGAAAGAAAAUUGCAGCGGAAACCGAAGACGAGGAGUAAAAGGCCAUCCGUGACCAGAUAAAGAAGCGCCAAAGUCGCCGAAUGUUGUUCCACGAGCGACAAACAAGUUCCGAUGUUGGUUCGGACGAAAGCGAUGGCGACAAUAAGGAAGGGGAGGAAGUCUCGAUUGCAAGUGACAAACGAGGAGGAAAGAAAAGACGAAAGUUGGGUCAUAUCUCCGCCCAAUCGUUUAAGCCUAUCCGGAAUUGCCCCGCCAGAUCUCAACGAAGAUGACGACGAGGUUGAUGAUUAUGAAGAUGUGGUUCAGGUGGGAAAUUAUUUGAAAAAGUGGACGAUACUUUCAAAGAUCCUCAGAGGCACAAUGUCUGAUGGCCCAACACCGGUGAAAAGACGAGGCCAUUUAAGAAGAACAUUAGUGUUCUGAACUUAGCUCUGACAUAAUAAAUUGAUAAGAUUCACGAAUCAAUCCGUUUGUUAGUGCAUAAAUAGUUUUUUUUAGAAGAAACACAAUAAAAGAUACAAUUA